UACGUAGGGGGCAAGCGUUGUCCGGAAUCAUUGGGCGUAAAGCGCGCGUAGGCGGCCCUGUAAGUCCGUUGUGAAAGUCGAAGGCUCAACCUUCGAAAGCCGAUGGAUACUGCAGGGCUAGAGUCCGGAAGAGGCGAGUGGAACUCCUGGUGUAGCGGUGGAAUGCGCAGAUAUCAGGAGGAACACCAAUAGCGAAGGCAGCUCGCUGGGACGGUACUGACGCUAAGGCGCGAAAGCGUGGGGAGCGAACAGG
rnacentral:rRNA from 1 species